CGGUGACGACCCAGUCCUCGUUCGCGACCGCGGCGACGAACGACACCGACGGCGCGGCGACGCCGGGGAGCGCGGGGUCCGGGAGAAGCAGACGGUACGACCCCGCGCUCGGGUCGAACCGCGGCUCGAGCGUCCCGACGCUGGGGGUCAGGGACUCGAGCCACGCGGCCGCGUCCGGGGUCACGAUCGCAAUCUUCGUGGGCAAAUCUUGAAGGAGGUUGACCGCGUCCACCCCGCCCGAGCCGACUUCUUCGCGGCCGACGAAAUCCCUCGCGACGACGUAGGCGUCGUACCGCGUCGACGGGGACAGACCCGUGAGCGUCAAAACGAGCGGGAGCACGUCGUCGCCCGCGCCCGAACGCUUCGACUCCGUGUCCCCGAGCGCGGAGCUCGCGCGCGCCGACGCGAGCGCGGGCGAGGUGGCCGUCACGGCGACGUGCGCGACGCCGCUCGUCGCCCCCGCGGCGGCGGCGGCGACGGCGGCGACGUCCGCCGACGUCGGCGUCGCGACGGACCCGAACGGCACGACGACGACCCACACCGCGGCGGUCUCGUCCACGCGCACCUCCAGCGUCGCGCCCGUGGGCACGACCGCGGCGACGCGCGGGUGCCCGGGGAGGAAGAACGGCGGCGUGUUGUCGAGCGUGCGGAUCGUCCGCGACACCGCGCGAGGGGGCGCGUUGGCGUACGGCGUCGAGACGCCGUCGGGGCCCGUCGUUGUCGCCGCCGCGGCGUGGACGGCGACGGCGUAGACGUCGUACAGAACGCCUUUCGUGAGGUUUACUAUCCCGCCGCCGAUCGCGGUGGGCGUGAACGCGGUGAGGACGUCGCCGUGACCCGCCGUGGAGGACGAGCGGGUGUCCGGGAAAUCGGAGCCGCCGCCGCCCGGGGAGGCGCCGUGCGCGUCGACGCCCGCGAGAAUUUGCGCCGGCGACGGCGCCUUCGCGCCGUGCUUUAACAGCACGUACGCGACUUUCGCGGGGACGGCGCUCAGGGAAAACUGCGGCGUGAUCGACGUCUCCCCGAUCGCGUUGACCCCGACGCAGUCCGCGCCUUUCGCCGGGGUUUCGCCCGCGGCCACCGCGGCGGCAUCCGGGACGAGCCCGGGCGCGACCUUCGCGGCGUUGGUCCGCGCGACGUUCCCCGGCGCCGCGCCGUCGCCGGAGAACGCGACGUCGCCGCCCGCGCUCGACGCGACGACGGCGACGAAGACGUCGUACCCCGCGCUCGCGCUCGACACGGACUGACCAGCCCCGAGGGACACGUUCGCAGACGCGAGAGCGUUCGCGGUCGGCGCGGACACGACGCCAGCCGCGAGCGGCGUCGCGCCCGCCGCGUCCGUCCCCGCGACCACCCGCGCUCUCGUCGGUUCGCUCGCGCCGCCGUCGACGACGACGUAGUACGCGUCCCCGGGAACGUCGAACGCGAUAGACAACGUGAACGUCCCGGAAGGCGACGCGUUCGCGACGAGCGGGACGCCGAACGUGGUCCCCGUCGCCGGGGAGGUG
rnacentral:lncRNA from 1 species